rnacentral:ncRNA from 2 species
UUAAUUGACAGCAUAGUUUGUAUCCCCUAUAAUAAGGACAGUUAAAUAUGAGCAAGAUCCUGUGAUGUUGGGAAACGGGUGGGAUUCCCGUGCUGUGAUCGCAGCUGUGACGCGAAAAGCCGGUUCAUGACCACUGUCGUUUGUGAUUGGGCGCGAUGGGAAGGGAGCCGGAUGAUAUCGUGAAGCCAGAAGACCGGCACAGCGAUCCGUUCUGCA